UGCUAAGAAUAAUGAUACUGAGGUAAAUAUUUAAACUAUAACUUGUUUAUCAGUUCACCAUUUGAUUUCAAAACAAUAUUGUGUUUUGUAUUGACAUAUUGAGAUUAAGUCUAGACCGCAUCGUUAAUAAAUUAGGACUUUCCUUGAACAAAUACGCAUUUAAAUCCUAAAAUAUAAUUGAUUAUAAGGUAGCCUAUCACUAGGUGGCAGUCUGCUGUGUUUUGUAUAAAUACUUCCCAAUGUUUUAAGAAAUAAACUUUAAAGUUUAAGCGUCUUAGAAAAACAUAUUUUGUAGAAAGCGUCUUAGAAAAACAUAUUUUGUAGAAAUGAAGCUGAUUCUUAGUUUGUUACUGUUGUCAGUUUGGAGUUUCGUAAAGGCUCAGGGUGAUAUGAUUUACGACACGACUUUACAGCCUAAAUGCACGUUAGUCGAGAGAGGACAACCAGAAAUUGUCAAUGGGAAGCAGGACUAGAUAUGCCAGAUCUGACAGUAGAGAAGGGUCGAAUCGUUGCCUACCAGAUCCGUUGGUUUAGUGGAAGUUGGUCUGAUUGGUAUGUCCCGGGGAUUAACGACAUCGACUGGAAAUUCAACCCAAUGUCAAAGCCAUGUCCUUCUUCACUCAAAGCAAACAGUUUAAGACGUGUAUGGGCCUACUUCUCCGACCAUUCACACAAGUACAUCAUUUGCAAACCCAACUAAAUUACGCUUGAUGUACCAGUGGCUUAUGACAAGGACAUGAUAUGUAAUUCAUAAACGAGAUAUAGGUCAUAACCUGCCAUAACGUUAGCAUUGAUCUUUGGAACACAAUCUUAUUGGAUAAUUUUGGACAUUAUGUUUGUUAUACUUGUAUUCUUAAACAGUAUUUCCUUAUCAUUUCCAAUGUUAGAUGAUUUGUAGUCGUUCAAGAAAGUAAUUGGAAACAUAAAGUGUUCAACGCUUAGAUUACUUCAUCAUUCACUUAAUUCAAUAAAAGUUUAGAACUAUAAAAUGU